GCAUAAAAAGCGAAUGCAAGAAAAUACUACUAUACCUUCACCAGCAUAAAAAAAACAUAGAGCUGAUGAGCCACACUAGAAUAAUACGCCGUCAACUUCCAAACCCGGAAACUGUCGAUUCUCAAAUAAAAUAGCAAGUUUCAUUGAUACAGCACGGAAAAUUAACAUCGGACUACCAAAGCCUAGUACGUCAAAGAAUGAUGAAAACAAUGAUUUAGGUUCUCGUGAAAAAACCCAGAGUAAGAGGAGUGAGACUAAGCGGAUUGACGAUCUUCCUCUUGUUUUAUCUGCUCUAAAAGGUCUAUCAAUCGACAUGAAGGAAGUUCUAGCAAAUCAAAGAUUGAUUUUACAUCACUGAGGAAAAACAGAUGCAACAAAAGAAAAGUUUUUCACUAAAAAGCACCAGCUUAAUGUACCCUUCCAGACGGAAGACGAAUUUGAUGAUUUUAACGUUCUGCUAAACAGUGAUGAUGUUUUUCGAACAGAAUUUACUUCUUCUUUGACCGACCUUUUUAAUAGGGAAUUAAAUGUAUCAAAAAGUUUGACAAAUAUUUUUUAAAAUACCUCAGUCGCCAUGUGAUUUUGAAGUUCACAGUGAAAAAAAGUUGCGGGUAAAAAGCUUAUGAACAGAACUCAUUUCUACGAAUGUAUCUCAGACGCCAUAAUGAACUUGGAAAGACGAUCACGCAAGACAUCAUUUCCAAUGUCGUCGGUAAAGUUUUUAACAACGAAAAAGGUUGGGAUGGUGAGCGGCAAAAAAGAGC